UACGUAGGGGGCAAGCGUUGUCCGGAAUCAUUGGGCGUAAAGCGCGUGUAGGCGGCCCGGUAAGUCCGCUGUGAAAGUCGGGGGCUCAACCCUCGAAUGCCGGUGGAUACUGUCGGGCUAGAGUGCGGAAGAGGCGAGUGGAAUUCCUGGUGUAGCGGUGAAAUGCGUAGAUAUCAGGAGGAACACCGGUGGUGUAGACGGCUUUCUGGACCGUAACUGACGCUGAGACACGAAAGCGUGGGUAGCAAACAGG
rnacentral:rRNA from 1 species